AAGUGUCCUUGAAAGUAAACAAGAAGCUGUAUCAUCCAUUGACGAAAAAAAAGAUUGGUUCACUUCUCCUGUCCCAUGUAAAUGCGAUUCAAUUCCAAGUGGCGACUCUCAGUUACAAAUACGCAUCCGUCCUCCGCGCCAACGUUCCUCUCUCAUCAUACAGUCCUCGGCUCCAAUAGCCAUCCACUCAAACGCACCAGCACAGACUUUCCAAGCGCGCCGACAUCUCUGCUGAACAAAACGGGGCUGUGAGAAAUGCUGCCAAUUACAGGUGCAAAAAACACAAGUGCCCUGGGGCUGUCCAGCGGCGACAGUCAAAUAGCGCCAACAUUCCUCCCAAUGAAAAUCAAUGCUGGGACACGCGUUCUGCCGAGAAGGCGCAACCACCAAGCACAGAUUCUUCUCUUUUGACGAAUGUCGUGGCUAAAAACACUGAAAAUGGUUCACAUCGGGUCCACACGUUGUAACAACUAAAACACCAUGUGAUAAAACAAAAGCC